UGGCAGGAACUGAGGAGGUGUCUCCUCAGAUUUGGGGCCUGGACAAGGGUUGUCACUUUUGUGUUUCCAUUUCAGCACCACUCGCCAUGUCCUCAGGCACAACCCAACUCAGGGCCACAGCCACCACCCUCAUCCUUUGCUGCCUCCUCAUCAUCCUCCCCUGCUUCAUCCUCCCUGGCAUCUGAGGAGAGUCCUUUAGAGUGACAGGUACUGUGGGCAGAAUUGGAAGUGGAGCAAGGAGCAGGUGGGUGAGGAGGCAGGAUGGGGAAAGAGAAUUCCCGGAGUCCCGCCCCUCCCCGUGGCUGGGACCUUCUCAUCCUAACAUGAGACAGGUUAAAGCUGAUACCAAAAGGCUCCUGUGAGCACGGUCUUGAUCAAACUCGCCCUUCUGUCUGGCCAGCUGCCCACGACCUACGGUGUAUGUCCAGUGGCCUCCAGCAGAUCAUGAUGACAUCAUGGACCCAAUAGCUCAUUCACUGCCUUGAUUCCUUUUGCCAACAAUUUUACCAGCAGUUAUACCUAACAUAUUAUGCAAUUUUCUCUUGGUGCUACCUGAUGGAAUUCCUGCACUUAAAGUUCUGGCUGACUAAACAAGAUAUAUCAUUUUCUUUCUUCUCUUUUUGUUUGGAAAAUCAAGUACUUCUUUGAAUGAUGAUCUCUUUCUUGCAAAUGAUAUUGUCAGUAAAAUAAUCACGUUAGACUUCAGACCUCUGGGGAUUCUUUCCGUGUCCUGAAAGAGAAUUUUUAAAUUAUUUAAUAAGAAAAAAUUUAUAUUAAUGAUUGUUUCCUUUAGUAAUUUAUUGUUCUGUACUGAUAUUUAAAUAAAGAGUUCUAUUUCCCAA
rnacentral:lncRNA from 1 species